rnacentral:misc_RNA from 1 species
AAAAAAGUAUAGAUACAAAUGGGGACUUCAUAGCCGCCCCCAGUUCAACAUCCAACAAAUUCCCAGUCAAUUUUUGAAAAAGUGAAAUGAAGAAAGAAUAUUAGAUUAUAGGAUGCAGAAGAAUAAAAAGCAUGAAGUCUCUACUCAAUGGAGAUAUUGCAUCAUUCACAAAUUAUCAACUGAGUAAAACCCAGAGGUCUUCAAUGGCUCGCUCUGCACGCUAGAACUGCACUACAACAACCGACGGCGGGGAAGAAACAUACAGCUAGUUCGCUUUUUAAAACAAUAGCAACUUCUGCAAAAAGCACCUUCGUACAGAUGGAAUUCCGUUUAACUAGACAUCAUCACGUGAUCAAUUGAUUGAAGAGCUUGGUUAGCAAAGAACCGGACAUCUACAUCUGGAUCCUCAGAGAGUUCAACUAGGCUAGGACGGAUCGUUUUUUCCACCACAGGUUGGUCAACUAUGGGAAUGAGAGACUGCAACACCUUCGCCACAUUAAACUUGAUAUUUGGAACCCUGUCCUUGGAAGAACUGAUAACCACAGGUAAUAGUUUUGUGCAUGUGAUUUCUGAGCCCAUAACUGGAGCAAGAAGAGAGACCGCACGAAGAACAGUCAUUCGAUACAAAUAGUGUGGGUUGUUAAUCAUGUCAAGAACCUGUGGGACAAUAUGCUGCAUUGCCCACUCAGGACCAAACUCUUCAGCAAGGCGCUUCAAAUUAUUAGCAGCUGCAUCGCGG